GACAGAGGUGCCAAGCGUUAGGCGGAAUCACUGGGCUUAAAGCGUGUGUAGGCGGAAUUGUAAGUACCUUGUGAAAUCUCACGGCUCAACCGUGGAACUGCUCGGUAUACUGCUUUUCUUGAGCCACUUAGGGGCUACCGGAACAAAUGGUGGAGCGGUGAAAUGCGUAGAUAUCAUUUGGAACGCCAAUGGUGAAAAACAGGUAGCUGGGAGUGUGCUGACGCUGAGACACGAAAGCCAGGGGAGCGAACGGG
rnacentral:rRNA from 1 species